GACAGUUUAGCUUAAUGGUAAAGUACUUGACGCGUAAUCACAAGGAUGUGAGUUCGAGUCUCAUGGCUGGCU
rfam:Octopus bimaculoides Scaffold166193_contig_96, whole genome shotgun sequence.